CAUGAGGCAGUCUCAGGCUGAACCUCCGGACCUGCGCCCAGAGAUGUGGAUCGCGCAUGAGUUGCGACGCAUUGGAGACGAGUUUAAUGCCUCUUACCCGAGGAGGGUAUUCUUGAAUCAACACCAACCCGCCGAAGACCAUCCCCAGAUGGUUAUCUUGCGACUGUUACGUUACAUUGUCCGCCUGGUGUGGAGAAUGCGUUGACAGGGUCCUCAUCACAGAGCCAAGAUACCUUCAGACAUUUCGCCCGUGCCACCCGACAGGCCUGGCCCGCGGGCUCUUGGGCCACUGCCACGUGGCCACAGGUCCUUCCCCUGGCGGUGUGCAGAAGGCAGGCAGCGCGCACCCGGCGGCCCUGGAUGUGAACUUGACCUUGUGCGCCUCGCCACAGGGCAGAAUUUCCAGUAGAAGUUUGUUGUGAAUGUAAAUGAGGGAGGGUUUUUCUUACUUUCAUUUUUUCCUUAAUGUACAAAAUCAUGGUUCUUUGGAUCAGGAGUAUGCCAGAAUGGUGUUUACAUGCCGUGUGUGGAUGUGGGUUUUUUUUUGUUUUUUUUUUUUUUUUUUUCCACCUUCUCUAAUAACAGGUUUUUUCAGAAAGGAAAUGGAAACUUUUUAACCAACUAGUGAAUGAUUUUUGUACUAAAGUUUUAAGAACCUCAGAAGAUUGUGUAAUCCUAGCAGUGGAAACUGAGCCAGCUAAUUUAUAAUGCUGACUUGGUUUAUUUUUAGAUUACAUUUUUUAAAAAAGGCAGAGAGGUGUGAUACGUCACCUUCUUCAAAGUUCUUUGAACUUUUUCUAAUUAUUAUUAAUACCAAAAGAGUUUUUAUGAAAUAGAACUGAUUAAAGGGGUAGAGGGUGGACCACUCCCAUCUUGUAAAUAUCUAUUUACCUCCUCAUAUUCAGUUUUGUCGAGGGCAAAGUUUCCGCUGGCUCCACACGGUUUUGCCGACCCUCAUCUGUGACUAGGUGCGUCAGGGCUGGCCGGCAGGUCUUCCGCAGGGUGCUUUCCUAAGUGUCCUCGCCUCAGAGCCAGUUAGCCCGUGCCUAUGUCCUGCCCAACCUGUCUGUCGUCUGUCUGUCUGUCGCUAGCAGACUGCUGGGGACAUGCUCAGUGUUGACUGCUCUUGGCGUUAGGUGUUGGUGGCAGCAAGAGCAGUGACGACAGGCUGAGUGGCCACUUUUGCACACCCCGAAGGCACAGGGCUCGCCCUGCACCCAGUCCCGGGGGUGCCAUUCCCACGCGUCAGGACAGGCGUCAGAUGGCCGGCUCCCAGGCACCAGCGUAGAGAGCAGCGCAGGGCCCUGGGCUGCGAUCCCGCGCCCCGCGUCUCUGCGCUUGCUUGGAAAUAGACCUAGUCCUCCUCUCUCCGGUGCCGUAGAGUGCUGGGCAGAGGCCGAGAUGGUCCUUGAGCCUCGGAGGCAUCUCCUUUUGCUUGGCUCAUUCUCUUAGGACACCUGGAUCUUGCCAGGCCGCUGGGGCCUCCCCCUGCCAUCCCCUGGAUUUCUGCAGGGCCCACCCCCACAUCCACACAUGGGUCAGACGUGUCAAAAGCCAAUGAGCUAAACAAGGACAAUCGGGCAGCCACUGGACAACCCAAGAGACAGAUGAGGCGUAGGGAAGGAGUCUGGACCCUGUAAAAUCUGAUGAUUUUUGAAAACUAAUCAUUAAAUAACCUUCUGAAAGGAAUACAGGCGUUUUCCAACACACCAGCAGUGCCCAACAGCUGUGGUAUUUGCUUUUUGCCUGACGGGACCAGUGUAUUCACAUUAAAUUAAAGAGGGAAAAAAUCCAUUUGUAUCUUAAUAAAUUUAUAUACGUGUGUGUAUAUAGGUAUAUGUAUGUGUAUAUAUGUAUAUAUAUAUUGUCUAUAUACUUUUUCCUUUAAGUAGAGGUGAUUUGAUUCCAUAUAUUCUUCCUUUUUAAACAUUUUUCCCCUAAAAUCUCCUUUGAGUUUUAAAUAUUUUGAAAUCUCUAUUGGAGCUCAGUGUGUUUCUUGAUGUGUUUUGAGCCCACCUGUAGGGUCCCACACAGCCCACAGUUGUGUGGUGAUGGUGUUGGGUUGCAGUCACGGCCCUACACACACCCACGUACACACGCGCGCACACACACACACACACCAAAGACCUGUUCUGGGCCCCCGCUUCCCAGAUCUCCGUGCUCGGCGCCAGCCUCUCUGACCAGAGCACUUUACAUUUCUUAAGUCCUGCGGCGCCCCGGGAGCGUGGUGGGGCCAGGGCCGGGCAUCCGCCCAUGAGCGUGCCUACCUCUGCACGGGGCCGCUGAGCCCCCAGGCUGGCGGAGGAAGCGGCUCCCAAGGAUGUAGGUGAUUCUAGGAAUUGUAGAAGUGUUAAAGAUCAGGAUGCUGGCCCCAGAACUUGAGGGAUGACUGGUUGUCGCUGUACUGUAUCUGUUUAUGCCUCCCUGUAGAAAGCCUCCUUAGUGGGGUAUACCUUUUACUUUUAUGCUUAUUAUUAUUUUAAAACUUUUUUGUAGAUCCUUUUU